UGGGGAAUCUUGCGCAAUGGGCGAAAGCCUGACGCAGCCAUGCCGCGUGAAUGAUGAAGGUCUUAGGAUUGUAAAAUUCUUUCACCGGGGACGAUAAUGACGGUACCCGGAGAAGAAGCCCCGGCUAACUUCGUGCCAGCAGCCGCGGUAAUACGAAGGGGGCUAGCGUUGCUCGGAAUUACUGGGCGUAAAGGGAGCGUAGGCGGACAUUUAAGUCAGGGGUGAAAUCCCGGGGCUCAACCUCGGAAUUGCCUUUGAUACUGGGUGUCUUGAGUAUGAGAGAGGUGGGUGGAACUCCGAGUGUAGAAGUGAAAUUCGUAGAUAUUCGGAAGAACACCAGUGGCGAAGGCGACACACUGGCUCAUUACUGACGCUGAGGCUCGAAAGCGUGGGGAGCAAACAGG
rnacentral:rRNA from 1 species